rnacentral:tRNA from 1 species
GGGGGUGUAGCUUGGCAGUAGAAUGCGUGCUUAGCAUGCAUGAGGUCCUGGGUUCAAUUCCUAGUACCUCUA